UGCAUGGAAUGUGAAUCAAUUGACGUAUUUUUAAUUUUUAAUUAAUAUAUUUGAAUUAGCGGUUAUAAAAACUGCUUGAAAACAAUUAGUAUAAGUUGUAGACGUAAAGGUUAUGUUAUCAUAUUAAGUAGUUACAGCAGUGUACAAAGUGUUGUCGCAUAACCGCAUUUAUUACAAAGGCGCUGGUUUUAAAAUAUAAUUAGGAAACCGUUAAUAUGUCGACAAUAAAAGAUUUAAAUUCACCAACCGAAAUGAAACUGAUUAACUCCACAGAAGAAGAAGAUGAUGGGAAAGUUCGGAUGAAGAAGGAACUAGGUCUUCUUGAAGGUGUAGCGAUAAUUUUAGGAAUUAUUUUAGGCUCAGGAAUUUUUAUUUCGCCGAAAGGUAUAACUGAAGAAGUAGAUGCACUAGGAACAUCUUUGGCUGUUUGGGUUGUAUGUGGCCUGUUAUCGAUGAUAGGAGCCCUGUGCUAUGCAGAAUUGGGGACUUCAAUACCAAAAUCUGGAGGUGACUAUGCCUACAUAUAUGAAGCUUUUGGGAACCUACCAAGUUUUUUAUACUUGUGGGCUGCUAAUUUAAUUUUUGUGCCUACAACAAAUGCUAUUAUGGCUUUAACUUUUGCAAAAUAUGUAAUCCAGCCAUUCUUCCCUGAUUGUGAUAUUCCUAAACACUCAGAUACCCUUAUAGCAGCAUCAACUUUAUGCUUUCUUACAUUCCUUAAUGGAUAUAAUGUCAAAGCAACUACAAGAUUGCAAAAUGUAUUUAUGUUUUGUAAAAUUGGGGCCGUCGUGUUAGUGAUCCUAGUAGGAAUAACCUGGAUGGGUAUGGGACACCUCGAAAAUUUUGCCAAUCCUUUUGAUGGUGGCACAACUAAUCCGGGUAAACUUGCCAAAGCUUUUUAUUCAGGGAUAUUUUCCUAUUCAGGCUGGAAUUACCUCAAUUUCAUGACAGAAGAAUUACAAAAUCCAUACGUAAAUCUUCCUAGAGCUAUUUUCAUAUCAAUUCCCUUAGUCACCCUUGUAUAUGUCUUGGCUAAUAUGUCUUAUUUAUCAGUCCUGACUCCUGAUUUGAUGAAAGCUUCUGAUGCUAUUGCAGUUACCUUUGGAAAUAAGUUAUUGGGAAAAGGUGCUUGGACAAUACCUGUGUUGGUCGCCAUAUCGGCCUUUGGAGGACUUAGCGUUCAUAUUAUGACAUCCUCUCGGAUGCUCUUUGUGGGAGCACGAAAUGGACAUUUCCCAGCUAUGUUAGCUCACCUUAAUUUAAAAACAUUGUCCCCUGUGCCUUCUCUUUUAUUCCUGAACUUGCUGUCGUUACUGAUGUUAUGUACCAGCGACAUACAAAGUCUAAUAACGUAUUGUACAAUAGUGGAGUCAUUUUUUGUGACGCUCUCCGUGUCGGGUCUUCUGUAUCUUCGAUGGAAGCAGCCCAAUAUGCAACGCCCCAUUAAAAUUCAUCUUAUCGUUCCAGUUACGUUCGUUAUUAUUUGUAUAUUCCUCUUAAUUUUGCCGUGUGUGGAAGCGCCGUACGUGGUCGGUAUUGGAACACUUAUAACCCUUUCGGGAAUACCGGCCUACUACGCAGGAGUAUUUUGGAAAAACAAGCCAAAAUGGUUCCGGGAGAUGAUGAAGACAUUAACAGAGCUGUGCCAAAGAGUUUGCUUCUCAUCGCACGAGGAUUGACAAACUUCGGAUUUUAAUGAUUAUAAACGUUACCAGUCUUUAACAAGUAUUUUAUUAUGAAACCCAAGUGCCUGUUUUUAAGUUGCAGCACUAAAAUAAUUGCUAAUAGGAAAUAAGUCUAUGGAACUGUGUUUAUGCUCUAUGACCGUUCCUAGCCUUAAAAGUGUACUUGCAAAUUCGUAGUCUCUUA
rnacentral:misc_RNA from 1 species